rnacentral:rRNA from 1 species
CCUGAGGAGUACGUCCGCUAGGCUAUAACUCAUAGUAUUGUACGGGGACCCGCACAAUCGGUGGAGUAUGUGGCGUAAUUUGAUGCUACGCGAAGAACCUUACCUGGCCUUGACAUGCAUUGUGUCGUCGGUGAAAGCCGGCUAGUCCUGGAUACAGGACGCUUUGCACAGGUGCUGCAUGGCUGUCGUCAGCUCGUGUCGUGAGAUGUUGGGUUAAGUCCCGCAACGAGCGCAACCCUUGUGGUCAGUUACUAACCGGCUUAGCCGGAGGACUCUGGCCAGACUGCCCUGUCAAACGGGGAGGAAGGUGGGGACGACGUCAAGUCAGUAUGGCCCUUAUGGCCAGGGCUGCACACGUACUACAAUGCCCGGUACAAUGUGAACCGAAACCGCGAGNUGGAGAAAUCGCUCUUGAAACCGGGCCCAGUUCGAUUGGAGUCUGCACUCGACUCCAUGAGUCGGAAUCGCUAUAAUGGGUAUCAGCAACACGCCGUGAUACGUUCCCGGUCUGUACACACCGCGGUCACAUCAUGG